CACCCAAAAUUUGUGGUUUCCUGUUAGUCUGGAGCUUCCUGCUUUCUUUGUCUGCCCAUGGACAUGGCUGUUUACACGAGGGACACAUGGUUUCCUGCUACCUGGCCUGUGCCCCCCCUUCCCUGCUCACACCUAGCUUUCUGCCUGCUGGUAACAGUUCCCACGGCACACCCAGCUCCUUCCUCUUGGCUCUUCCUGCCUCUGAACUGGCUCUACCUUGUCUGAUUCUGAGACCAAGUCCAAUGGGUGUGGGGUGGGGGGAGCACAGUGAAGGGUCCUCACAGUCCAAGCAGAUCUUGAGCACCAGCUAGGGGUUCUACAGUUCAACUCAAUUCUAACACUGUCCAGACAGAGAUAGCUUCAGAUUUUACAGGUUAAGGGCUCAGUCCUCCAACACUGCCUCCUCCCCCACCCCACGCCCCCCCCACUAUGGUGAGUCCAGAUUGUCCCGUGCCUCUAACCAACAAGCUAUAGAUUGAAGGUGCCAAUGAUGUGGCUCGGCCUCUGUCACCUGUGCGGAGUACAAACUCAGAGACAGAGUUUUGAGUGCAGUGAAGGAGAGAAAGAUAGCGUUAUUGCUUUGCUGAACCCAGGAGGCCACAGCAGGCUAAGGCCUUAAAGACCAUGCUCCCCUUGGGAGAAAUUGGGAGGUGGUUUUAUAGUUUGGGAGUGAAAAAUAGGGCCAUUGAUACAGAGCAGGUAGAAGAGAGAUUGCCUUGUUUUUCAAAGCUGGUUUUUAGGUGGUCCCAGAAUUGGUUCUGAUGAUCCUUCUUUAGGAAUGAAGAAUGCCUCAUCAGCAUCUUCAUUUGUUGAGGGUUUUAGUUCUGCUGAAGAAUUCGAAGAUAGUGUUAGGUAUAUUCCCUGAGGAGGAACCAGGACCCUGCCCCCAGGCUGCACUAUUGUCUCUAGACGGCUCCUCCCAGGUGUCUGCAUCCCCUCCCUUCCCUGAGUAACCACUGUUUGAACCUGCUUUUUGGCACGCAGUCUUGGAGGCUGAAGCUCAUUCCCCCGAAACAAUAAGUGGGGGACACAGGAAAGCUUGUGGGUCCGGGAACCCCACAGGGCUCUGCUUGGGUUUCAGUUCCCUGGGUUCAAAUAAUUUUCAAGAGAGACUCACAGAACAGAGGAAGCCAGUUUACUUACUAGGUUACUGGUUUAUUAUAGGACAAAACCUAGAUAGAGAAGAUACAAGGGAAAGGGAGAGGGAAGGGACACAGAGAUUCCAUGCCCUCUGCUAGUGCCCCGUGGUCACCACCUCCUGUGGGCAUCAAGCCAGAAGCUCUUUGAACCCUUUCUUUUGGGUUUGUACGGAGGCUCUCUUGCAUAGACAGGGUGGAUUAAAUCUUUGGCCAUUGGUGAUUAAACUCAAUCACCAGCCCCUCUCCCCUUCUCAGCCUUUGGGACUUAAAGUCCAAACCCUGGCAACCAGCUCCAGCCUCAGCUAGGAUUCCAAAGUCACCUCUUUAACAUAACAAAAGCCACUUUAAUGCUCGAAUCACAGGAAAUUCCAAGAGCUCUAGGAACUCUCUCAGGAAAUGGGUGGAAGACCAAAUAUAUAUAUAUUUUUAUUAUAAAUCAUACUAUUCUAACUGGGAGUGGAACUUUGUGUGCAUCUUGGUGUUCCAGCCUUUUUCUUCCUUAGGCAGGUAAUCUCUCCUCUCUCUCUCUCUCCCCUACUCUUUCCUAAGGGCUUGGCUGGAAAGGUUAGAUUAGCUUUUUCCCCAGAAAUUCUGGAUACGAUCCUACAUUUUCCCAAUUUAAGUAGAAGAAAGGGAAGGAAGGUGAUCAUAUGUCAACUUCUGGUGCCUUGUUCCCAGGCUCACAGUUGCCCGUUUUCCCCAAACCACCCCUUCCUUUUAGGUAGAGGGUUCUGUCUUCCCAGAAAGUGUCCACAUGGAAACUUGAUCUCUGUCCCAACCCCAGAGGGCUAGCAGCCACCUUGCAAAUUGUCACUCAGUCUUGUGGGACCUGCUUUGCUGUCUUCCUCUGGAGGCUGGCCUCUGAGUUUUGCUCUCUGGCCUUUGCAGGGUGCAUUAGCACUGCACUAAAUUGUGCCUACGGCUCCAUCCAAGCAGGUUAUAAGACCUUUAAGCAUCUUUGUGUGUUUGUCAGCACAAGUCAUGGAGCAUAAAAGUAUUGAAUUGUGGAAUCCCGCGUUGCUGUGGCUCUGGUGUAAGCCAACAGCUGUAGCUCCAAUUGGACUCCUAGCCGGGGCACCUCCAUAUACCGUGGAUGCAGCCCUAAAAAGCCAAACAAACAAACAAACUGAAUUGUUAUAUACCUUGGGUUCCUUUUCUCCCUCUCAUUUCUUCAGGUCUCUGCAGCCUUCAGAGCAUGCUUUCACAACCCACAGGGCAGUGUAGCUUGUUGGGAGUGUGGUCUCUUGAGUCACUGUUAACCCACGUGUCCUGCUUCUUUCUCUCUAGCUAAAUGGGACUUAACAAGGGAUGAUUCUUAUGGAUUUUCAUUAAUUUCCUCACCCUUCUUCCCCUGAGACCCUACACCUGGCAGAAAUUUAUUUAUUCAUUUAUUCAACAAGUAUUUCUUGAGCAUUGUCAUGUGCCAAGUGCUGUGCCAGCCCUGGGGGGUACCACAGGGAGAGAGAAAGAGGAGAGAGAAAAAGAAAGGACAACAUCUUUACUCUCAAGGCGCUCACAAUCUGCUAGAAGACACAGAAAGGAAGCAAAACCCCCAAGGAAAACUAAAAUUAAAACCGAAAAGUACCGUGAAGAAAAAACUCAUGAUGCCGCGUGGGGAAAAUAAAGUCUUCACUGGGAGUUCCCUGGUGACUCAGCAGGUUAAAGAUCUGGCAUUGUCACUGCUCUGGCUCUGGUUACUGCCAUGGUGCAGGUCCGAUCCCCAGCCCAGGAACUUCCAAAUGCCCUGAGUGAAGCCAAAAAAAAAAAAAAAAGUCUUUGUCAGGAAGCUCAGGGCAGGGUGCUCCCAUCGUGGUUCAGCAAAAAGGAAUCUGACUAGUAUCCAUGAGGAUGCAGGUUUGACACCUGGCCUCACUCAGUGGGUUAAGACUGUGGUAUUACUGUGAGCUGUGGUGUAGGUUGCAGGCGUGGCUUGGAUCGGCCAGCAGCUGCAGAUCCGAUUGGACCCCCAGCCUGGGAACUUCCAAAAGACAAAAAAAGCUCAGGGACGGUCCCUGAACUGGAGAUGAAGGCCAGUAGGGGCCAACCAGGCAGAGAAGGGGGAAGAAAGGAGAAGAGAACCGUGUCUCGGUCAGAGGAAUAGCAUGUGCCAAAGUCCUGUGGCAGAAAGGAGAAAGGGGCCCUGGAGGGAAGCAAGGUGAAAACAGUGGAGACAGUCUUGUUAAAGAUGCAGGUCUUCAUCCUAAGGUAGUUUGCAUGAGGGUGGGGGUGGUGGAGAUGGAGAGAAGCAAACAGGUUUGCACAACGUUUCAGGAGUAACAUUACCGGAACGUGGGAGUGAAUUUGACCUGGAGAGAGAGCAUGUUGUCAACGAUGAGUCCUCCAUUCCUGGCCUCUGAGUUCAUGGAGAAAGGAACUUGGAUGGCAGCAUCACACUGCCCAGGCCCUUCCUAGCAGUCCCGCCCCAGCCUAUGCCCCCAUGAUGCUGAGUCCAUUUCAAGUCUCCUGGGCGUGUCGAGUUGGCUUGCUGCACUCUUUGCUAAACCCUCUCAGAGCGGGGGUGGUGGGGGGCGGAGAACAUCCUCUCAUUUUAAUCCAGCAACCCACCUCCAAAAACCUUCUCUCUGAAGGCUCAACUGAGCCACGUGCCUCUCAGUCAUUUCCAGGGAAGGGUGGGCCGGCUUCAUCAGCACUAAGUGAAAUCCUGUGUUCCUGCCAGAGGCUUUGAUAUAUGGGACGAUGCUGGCAAGAGCUGGGGCUGGGGCGGGGGGAGGAUCUUUUUUUAAUUUUUUUAAUCCACCUCCAUGGAAUCGCUUGAAUGGCAGUUGACAAUUAGCUGCUAAGUAAAAGGAGGCACUUAUUUUUAUUGCAGGGGGCCUUGACAGCUUUAUGUUCACUCUUUAAAAGCCCAGAGUCCUGUGUGUAAAGGUGAGCAGGGAGGAGAAGUAGUGUGGGAAGGAGGAAGGGAGGGCCAGGGGCAGGUGCCGACAGAUCCCAUGGUUUCUGUGCCGGAGUCUGAACCCGAGCAGUUAUUUACAAGGAUGUGCUGAUCUGGAAGCCAGAGAGGAUGGUUCCUCCAGCCUGGGGAGGACGGAAAGCCUGAGGCUGGCCCGGCAGAAACCACGAUUCCUCGGCCCCCGCCAUGCCUCAUAUUCCCAUGCCGCGGUGGGAAUGGGGCUGUGGCUUCCCUGCUCUGGCACUGCUCUUUUGCUGGAAUUUCAGGAAAAAAAACCCCAAACUCCAGAAGAAAGGUAUUUCUUUUCUCUUUGGGGAUUCAGUUCUUUCACUAAAAGACACUUGGCCCCGUUCCCCUUUCCUCUCCUGGCUGAGAUGGAGAUGCUCCGGGGACUGGCCAGUGGGGAUGACAGAGCCAGUGGGGAGGAGGGAAAAAGGGGCAGGGCAGCACUUGGUGACCUGGGCUGACUGAAGGUGGGUGGAAGGGGCUCUUGGGCUGAAUGCAGGAGUGUUUGAGCUCUGAUAAAAGAGGAUCUAAGGUAGAAAGGAAGGGGACAGCUCCUCCUUCUCCUGGUGCUUCCCGGGACCAACACAGUGUUCUGGGGUUUUCCAGCCAAUCUGGGGAGGGGGCUUGAGAAGUAGAGGAUGGAGGAUGGCUUGAGAGCAGAGGCUGGGCUUCACCCUAUAUCCCCUCCUCUCGAGACUGUUUUAUUCCACUGACUUUAAACAAGAAGGAUUAAAGCCCCGAUUUUAGAAUCACAGGGCAAAUGCAACCUUGGACAAACACCUAAGCCGAGCCUCAGUUUUCUCAUCUGUAAAAUGGAACAAUGUGUUCUACUUUGUGAAGUUCUUACGAGGGCUAAACAAGAACACACAUGAACGUUUUUUUAGGGUGGGUAGUUUGUCAGAAAAUUAGCUUAAUUAAAUGUGUGAAUUAUGAGAUCACAUAGUAGAAUUCAUUAAGAUUUGCACUGGUUUAGAUGGAAAUGCAUCUGGUAAUGGUGCCAGGGUCAGAGUGAUGGGCAGUGGUGAGUGGCCGAGUGGCCUGCUGAGGGUAGAAAGAACAGCAGGGUGCUAGUUCCUUGAAGGGCUGCGUGUGAGCUGGGAGGGGACAGCAUAGAAAGGGGCCUCUUGCUUUCCUUGGGGUGGAAAAUGGUCUUUGAGUAUCAUGCCCUGUCUGCGGUCUUCUGCCUUCACUGGUCACUUCCCUAGGAUUCCUGGGUCACUUAUUCCCUCAUUGCUAAGCCAUUUCAUGUCCACUUGGGAUCAAAGGGCAGCAAUCAGAACCAGAAGUCAGAGGUAGAUAGAACUCAGGAUUGGGUCUAUGGAGUUCUAGGGAUGUUUUGGCUUUUAUACUCCUUACCUGCGAUGGGAGAUGAAGCAUGGCAAAGCAUGGUGUAGACCAGCUGAAGAAUCGAGGAUGCCCUUCCUCUCGUGCCAGAAGGGACCUGCGGGCCUGAUGGCUCUAGAGCAGGCAGCUCUCAUUUCUUGUUGGUGGGAAUAGCUUGGGCUGAUUUCUAGGCUGCAGCUGGAAAGUUCAGAGUCUUCCUCAUAUGGGGAUAUUUAAAGCUGUGCGAUUAUGAAGGACUUGCACCCGAGGAAGGGAAGUGCUGGGACCCUUCGGCCUUUAGAGGACAGGGAGAAAGGAGGAGGAAGAGCUGAGGUGGCUGAGACGGAGGAGCUAAUGCAGUGAAUGGAGAAACCAAAGUCAUGUGAGAGAUUGUCUCAAGAAAGAGGGGUGAUUGCAGAGGAACUUAUUCAUAAAACAGAAAGACACACACAGACUUAGAAAACAAGAUUAUGGUUACCAAAGGGGACAGCUGCGGGGGCAGGGAGGAUAAAUUAGGGGUUUGAGAUUAACGUGGACACUGCACUGUUUGUAAAAUAAGUAAACAAGGACCUGCUGUAUAGCACAGGUAACUCAAUAUCUUGUAAUAACUUAUAAUGGGAAAGAAUCUGAAAAAGAACAUAUCUGUAUCUGUAUCUGUCUCUAUUAUCUAUCUGUCUAUCUAUCCAUCUAUCCGUAUCUGAUUCGCUUUGCUAUACACCUGAAACUAACACAAUGUUGUAAACUAAUUCUACCUCAAUUAAAAAAAAAAACAUUUAAAGAGAAAGCAGCAACACAACACUGUAAAUCAACUAUACUUCAAUAAAAUUUUAAAAAAUGGAAAAAAAAAAUAAAAAA
rnacentral:lncRNA from 1 species